UACGUAGGGGGGCGAGCGUUGUCCGGAUUCAUUGGGCGUAAAGCGCUUUAAGGCGGUUCGCUAAGUCGGGUGUGAAACCUCCAGGCUCAACCUGGAGACGCCACUCGAUACUGGCGUGACUAGAGUUCGGUAGGGGAUCACGGAAUUCCUGGUGUAGCGGUGAAAUGCGCAGAUAUCAGGAGGAACACCGGUGGCGAAGGCGGUGAUCUGGGCCGACACUGAGACACGAAGGCCAGGGGAGCAAACGGG
rnacentral:rRNA from 1 species